rnacentral:rRNA from 1 species
UACGUAGGGUGCGAGCGUUGUCCGGAAUUAUUGGGCGUAAAGAGCUCGUAGGCGGUGUGUCACGUCGGCCGUGAAAACCUGGGGCUUAACUCUGGGCGUGCGGUCGAUACGGGCAGAACUAGAGGUAGGCAGGGGAGAGCGGAACUCCUGGUGUAGCGGUGGAAUGCGCAGAUAUCAGGAGGAACACCAUUGCGAAGGCAGCUCGCUGGGACGUUACUGACGCUGAGACGCGAAAGCGUGGGGAGCGAUCCGG